ACAUGCAAGUCGAACGAGAUUUUCGGAUCUAGUGGCGCACGGGUGAGUAACGCGUGGGAACCUACCUUUUAGUACGGGACAACGUUUGGAAACGAACGCUAAUACCGUAUACGCCCUCCGGGGGAAAGGUCAGCCGCUGAAAGAGGGGCCCGCGUCUGAUUAGCUUGUUGGUAAGGUAACGGCUUACCAAGGCUACGAUCAGUAGCUGGUCUGAGAGGAUGAUCAGCCACACUGGGACUGAGACACGGCCCAGACUCCUACGGGAGGCAGCAGUGGGGAAUAUUGGACAAUGGAGGCAACUCUGAUCCAGCAAUGCCGCGUGUGUGAUGAAGGCCCUAGGGUUGUAAAGCACUUUCAACGGUGAAGAUGAUGACGGUAGCCGUAGAAG
rnacentral:rRNA from 1 species